UUAGUGGCGGACGGGUGAGUAACGCGUGGAUAACCUGCCGUAUACAGGGGGAUAACACUUAGAAAUAGGUGCUAAUACCGCAUAAGCGCACAGGGCCGCAUGGCCCGGUGUGAAAAACUCCGGUGGUGUAAGAUGGACCCGCGUCUGAUUAGCUUGUUGGCGGGGUAGGGGCCCACCAAGGCGACGAUCAGUAGCCGGACUGAGAGGUUGGCCGGCCACAUUGGGACUGAGAUACGGCCCAGACUCCUACGGGAGGCAGCAG
rnacentral:rRNA from 1 species